rnacentral:lncRNA from 1 species
UACAACCAUGAUCUACACACAACACUCUGUUCAAACAAGCCACCGUGUUGUCAAUGGUUGUAGACCCAACUCAGUGAGUUGCAACCAUUCCCAACCUUUGCCUCUUCUGUUUGACAACGCCUUCAUCAUCAAAUGUGACAAAUGUGUGGAAUUGUUUCCGGCUCUGGAUAUGUAACUUCAGUAACUGUGCCACAAACACCAUUAACCAACCCGUCACUGACGUCAAUAUUCUUUUAUAACAUGACUCAAGCACCUUGUCCUAAGGUCAAAUGUGCUGGCGAUUACGUCUUCUGUUUAACAGGCCAGUGAAUGCACCAACUUUCUCUCUGACAAUGGCUCUUAAUUCAACAAUUUUAAUGAAGCCCUGAGGUCCAUACCCAAACACUCAGCAGACAGCGGUUUACCUUAAACUGGAGGUCAUUGAUAAAAAUCGCCUACAGAGAUAAUACACAUUACCAAACAGGGCAUGAGUGCUGGUGUUACUCCCCACCUGAAGGCGGCCCUAUGGGGCGUAACACCGGCACUUUGACCUAUUAAAGUAACAACAACACCUAAGUUUAACAUGUGACUUACGAUAACUAAAAACAAAAAAUUAAAUAAUUAACCAAGACGCAACUAAAGAACAAAUUAACAAGACAACUACAACACAAAGAUCCAAAACCACAAAUGAGAGACAGCAGGGCAGUAGAUCCCCACUAAAUGCCUCUCCCAACUGCAGGCAGCUGUGGGCCUUUAAACUCUGAGGCUCAGGUGAGGCUGAUUUCCAAUCAUAGACUUCAUCAAAAAAUGAUGGCGCAGUCUAAACUCCAGUGUGGUUGUUUUUUAUAUACAUCGACUCCUCAAAAACAGCAAACGGCGGCAAAAAUAUUUACAGUGCAGGAAACAAAACAAAACAAAAAAAUAGGCAAAUAAAUAAUGUACUUACAAGUUUCCAGAAGGACUUAAACUUCUUUACUUGUAACCCAUGAUGCCAUGGGGCCAAGAGCUCCCCUCAGAGUGAGCAAAACGCUCUUUAAAUACCCCUUAGCCCCUCCCCUGGGCAAAUCCAUAAACCAAUUAUAGGGGUUUAAGACACAAUAAGCAAAAUUCAACACAAAAUCAUCAAUAAAUCAGACAUUUCAACAUGGACAAAAAACGCACUAAUGGCCUUCCAUACAGCCUCGAUCUUAAUCAUUGAAAACACAUUAAAUCAGACCAAAACACCAUAGGUGAACUAUACUGGUAUGGUCCGGCGGUCACAUGACCCCCAAAAUCGCGCAACCAUGCGCUAUUUACUGAGGGACCAGGUAGUGCUUCGGUUUGGCGUAGAAGAUGGCAGCAUGUAAGUGAGUGUGUGUCUCUCUGUGUGUAGUUGUCGAUUGUGCACUCUCAAACGCCGACAACGGGGAGAAAAGAGUCCAGGUAAAAAGUGUAACGGUUGGUUAAAGUGCAGGACCGCGGGGCCGGCAGGGAAACAGUUAAACAGUUUGACGGAGCUUGGCUUCCUGUGGAACAAGUGCGCUACGUGCGCGUUCCCGGCACCGUCACUCUCAGGCCGCGAGACAGAGACCCGCGCCAGUCGGAGAAUGACGCGGCGUGUAACUGCGCUCCGCCACAGUGUAGCUUGGGGAGAGGACGAAAGUGAAUGGUUUUUGGAAAUUUGGAACAAGAGAGCAUAAAUGCACAACUAUAUACUACCUACCGUCAUGAAAAAUGUCUUUGAAGAGGUUUUAGAGGAUGAAAGCGGCUGGUUAAAAUCAAACAUUUGUACAGAGCAGAGUUCAUCACACCUGAACUGGACCAGAAAGAGAACCUGGUCCUCUUUGAAAUGAACUCACAAUAUGAACGCACAAAAGAACCAGUUCCUUUGCUUUCAGUCCACUUUUUGGCCCACUUAAAGAAGACUGAGUUUGGUUCUCUUAAAAGGGACCAAGAGUGAAAACAACCCAAAAUUAUGUCUAGAUAUUGGUCAAAUGUAGGGCUGGGCGAUACGGGAAAUUUUUUUAUCACAAUGUAUUUUUUUCAUAUUAGUUGAUAUCUAUCUAACACAAUAUUAAAAAAGGAAAUUUAACAGUGCUUAUUGGUAGCAUGUCUUUUGCAAUACAGUAAGCUACUGCAUCUGGGAGGUGUGUCUCUUUGACGAUUUGUCAUAAGGCGUUGCGCUAGAGACAUGGUAGAAUGCCUGUUAGAAAGCCCAUGUUGUUUAGGUGUUUUCAAGUAAAUACUGUGUGUGAGAUGCCUCAGCUGCAAAAGUUUAGUUUUCUCCUCAUGCAGCAGAGGAUAGUUUGUAAAUUUCCUCGUACCUGUUUUUAUCCAAUAUGCACCUUCACAUUCCAGGUUUAUUGGUUGUAAAUCCCAGGAGUGAGUUUUAUGAUGUGUUACUGUCUAAGUCGGGUGCUAUAUUGUGUGACUGUAUUGUUGACCGUGAAUAUGGCUAAUGCUUUUUCAUGCUACUCGAUGUUCAUGUUAUGUAUGGUGUGAGCUGUACUGAUUGUUGCUUUGUAUUUUUAUCUGCCGAACUACAAUCAAAUAAAUCCACCACUAAACUGGACAUCUGUAUCCUGUCUUUUAACGGGGACACACCAUACACCUUGGCGCUAUAACCCAGCAAAGUCCUGUAGAACGCCCUUUUCUCCUUUUUUUUAUGCCGACUAUCGAAAAGGCAUAUCGACCAUGUUUUGUAUCGAUAUCAAGGAAAAUUUAUUUUUCGAUAUCGUUAUUAUUUUAUCGCCCAGCAGUACCACAACACCACACAACCCCAAAGCACACGCCUACCCAACAAAUGGAUGAUGAGAACAAUUCACACAAACACAUAUAGCUGCUGUCCUUGCUUGCUUUCAUUUUCAUUCACAUUGUUUUAUUCUUUUCCAUUGGUUACAGUCAUCCCUGAUGAGGAAAUAAUGGUUGUACCAUUAGACAACAUGGACCUGACACCAUCUACAUCAACAGAAGACAGCUCCUCCACUUCAUCGCAGGACAAUGCUGCUCAUGGCCACUUGCCUCGGUAAGCUGAUCAGUUUCACGGCACACAUUUGCAUCUACAUUGAACAUUACCAAAACAUAUUUCUACACCCCCCACCCUCACCACCCACAAACUUUAUCGCCCACCAACUUCUCCAUCCAGGUCCCACACCCUCCUACCAUGUAGUAACAUCUUACAGCACCGGCAUGGACUUCUGACAAAUUUUGAUUCAGCUGCUUCUACAAUUAAACAUACAACACAUUUAAUGAUUGCAGUCCCAAACUUUCAAAGACUUCAGUGUAGCCACAUUCUGCCUACACAGUCACAGUUGCAUUGUACUACACAUCUUCUCAGACACAGACACAAGCUUGCACUAUCAAAUCUUUUGAUAAAUUGCUUUCUUACAGUAAACUGUGACUGUAGCAUAUUGUUACAUUCAUCACCACAAACACUUGCAUCACUAACACAGUGCCAACCGCCAUUUGCACAUGGAUUAAUGCACAACCUCAUGACUGCCUGCAUGGGAAACCACAACACCCCAUCUCCACCCCUGUGUACCACCACCCUAAUGCACUGCCCCUUCUUGCACUGAUAUCCCUGGUGUGUUGUGCUCCAUGGCAGCUAUCUAAUUUUGUGUUGGCAGGAAGUUGUGCCUGCCUUAGAGUGUUGUGGGUGAUUUUAGGCCAACAUGCCGUCCAGCACUAUUCUUGCAAAUGUUGGUGUACAUUUUGUGCAUGAACACAAUAUUGACCGAUUGUAUGGCCUUCGUUUAAUUUGAAAUAGUCUGCAAGAGCCUCUUAGCCUACCUUUCAAAUGGGUUAUUUUCUCAUUCCCUCUGUUCCUCUUUCACUGAGUCCUUUUUUAAUUUCUUUAUCAUUUAACCUUCUCUUUACUUUGAGUUUAUUCUUAACAAUGUGCCAACAUUUUGGGUUUAUAUUUAUCUUCUGUUGAUGUGAAGCCCUUCUUUCGAAUGAAAAGCACUAUACCACCAAAGGAGCCUUGCAAUGGAUGCAUGGGUCUGAAACUUGUCUGUUGCUAGGCUAUAUGUCUCCAUGUCCAGAUUAAAUAAGUUAAAGGACAUUCAGUGUGUUUUACUGAGUGUUUUUAGCUUCAGCAAGAACCAACAAGAACAUAUGUUUUGAUCUUUUUUGGAUAAUGCAAAGUAGUCACGAGACAAGUGUGGCAAAAACAACUAUGCAGGACUUGAGUUCAGUUCUUCAGGGGACGUUAAAAGAAAAAAAGUAAUAAUAAAAUCUGUUUGUUAUUUCCUGUCCUGACAGUAGAGCCUGCACUGGAAGCCUCUUUACUGAGGAGCCCUGCAGGCAGACCACUCACAUCUUGACAUUAAGCAUUAUUCACCUUGCCCUCACAUCCUGAACUCCAUCUGAUUUAUUUAUGUUUGCAUUUUUCCCUUUCAACAUUUCAACACUAAGACCCAGGCUGUCUCAGCAGAGGAAGUGUACAAAAAAAAAAAAAAAAAGGUUGCCUGUUUUUUCCCUCCUUCAUCCAAAGGUAUUAGAUGAAGGAAUGAAUGAAUGAAGGAAAUGCUUAAUUCAGAAAAUCAGGCUAAUUCACGUGAGCCUACCAUAGUCUGGCAACCCUGUUGGGAAGCACAGGGGAGAGAUAAUGGCUUCUGUCUACAGUACAUUGUAGAACAUGAGAGUCUGUCAGUGCCUCAUGCAGUUUUUGUCUGGGUUGAAGGACAUAGCUGUAAUUUGGUUGCCAAAUUGAUCUAAAGGGAAAAUGAUGAGAGGCUGUUUUAAAUUUCUUUGGAGGAGUUUUGAUUUUCUUGACGGGAUAUUCGCUGUUGAAGAGUCAACUACAAGCAAGAUAUUAAUAGAAGAACCAAACGCAGGCAUUUUUUCUUUUUAAAUUUCAAUUUUACCAUGAGUAUUUUGUUUACAUAAGAGACUAAACAUAUCUUUCCAAACUACCUGAGUCAACUGAGCUCAUACUAGAAAUUGUCAGCUCUACUCUGGUCUACUGGUCCCUGUGCUCUUUGUACCUGAUACUUUUGUUAAAGCAUUCUGAAGUGAGGAAACUGAAAUUAUCACUGAGAAAAACUGAACAUCCUGAGCUCACCUAGAGCUGAUGUAAAAUUAAUAAAGGCAUUUCACACCAACUGUGCAAAGCAAAUGUGUUUGUUUUGUCUGUCACAUUUAAUGGUCUUUGUCCCUCGGGGGGAACUCCUGCUGCGCUAACCUGUUUCCUGAUUGAGAUGUAUCUUUGUUGGUUUUCAUAUUCAAGUUUAACUGCGCUCUCAAAUCAUUCCUGCCUAAUUUCAGUGUGCCAUUCUCUGUGUUUAUUCAGGGCUAACGCCUAGUCUUGGAUCGGAUGACAAAAUGAAGAGACAGGCUGACACUGGGCUGUCAGGGUGAUGCCAAGCCAUCUGCUCCUCAGGAGCUUCAGAGCGGGAGAGAGGUGUGCAGGAUCAGAGAAGAAAAGAGUAAGAAACCCAUCACUAACACCAAAAACUGAAUUUUGCCUCACCCACAAUCCCCAAGAAGUUGAAUUUAACAUAGCAAAACACAAAAAUAGCUUGAAAUAUAAAAAGGCAGCGUUAGAAAUUCUAAUGCAAAGCUGCUGGCUCUUGCAAAAUAAGCAAAAUCUUACUCAGAUUUGGUGUUACUCAUGGAACCCUGAAGAGAAUCCCAGAUGGCAGCACCUCAGCAGUCCUGAGUCAUCUGGUGUGCAGAUAAAGGUCACACCACAAGAACUGGAGAGAAAGCGGGCAGACUCCAAUUUUAUAAAUGUUCAUUUUUUAACUUCGUAGUCCUCAUUCGCUUCAAGUUCAAUGUGUUAAAAAGGAUGAUACAAAAAGGUCGUGAUAGCCAGCAUUGCAGCCAGUGUAGUAACAUCCUUUUUUUCUUGAAAAGAGACAUUCUAAGAGGUAAUCUCUGGUUAAAUCAGAUCAUCAAAUUGUUGGAAAAUAAAAACAGGAAAACAGCAAAAAUAGUUCAACACAAGAAGCCUAUUUAGCCAACCCCAUUUUCUUCUUUAGUAAUACUGAAUACAGGGAAACUACUAAUAAUCAAAGCUAAACUCAAAAUACCAAAGAAAAAAAACUUUCCUUAAACUGUCACAGUACAGGAAUUUAUGCAGCGAGUCUAAAAGCAACCUGUGUAACGCAAUGUUGUGAUGACACAGCUCGGUGAAAAUCACCAUAUUACAAUCUGAACAAACAUUUUUUUGUGAAAAUCUAAUAUGGGUUUUGUCAAUAAUAGAAAAAAAGAAACACUCUCCACUCAUAUAUAUUUUUAUAAUCUAGGGCACUGCUGGAAAUAAAGACAUCAUUUUUAGUAAUAUGAUGUUUUAAAUUGGGUUUAGUGCAAGUAUGAUUUCUUAGACAUGAGAAUAUAUGUCAGGCUUUUGUGAAACACGCUUUUAGUGAAAAUGAGAACUACACUAUAUAACAAAGCUUGCACCUCUUGUCACCCUCUGUGUUUGCAAAGGGAAUAAAAAAACAUACAAGCCUUGUGUAAGAACAGCAGAGAGGUCUAUUUUAGUUUCCUAUUCCUUAAUGUGUAGACAGACUUGCAUUUUCCUUUCCUUAAUGUCCUGAAAGCCAAACACUAAGCAGGAUAUCAAUUACCUUCAGUGCACCUCUGCAUCUCUCCUCCCUCUCACCUCUCCGCCUCUGAGGAGGAACAAACGGGAACUUGCAGGCAUCUGAAGUCCUGGUUCACCGAUAGAGUGGAUGGCAAGCAGUAACGGGUACAGAACAAACGCAGCACACAAGAACAAUAGCAACAGGGAGUGCAGGGAGAUUGUGAAGACUGGCUUAAACAGAGGAUUUUUUUCCCCCCAUUGUUAAAUAUAAUCAUCCUCUGUUCUACCUGCACAGUCAAGGAAAAUUCCCCCGAGAGAUCAUUUACAUGGAACCUUGCAAAUUUAGCAACUUCUCGAAUACGCAGUGUUAUUGAGGUUAAUAUAUCCACCUGAGCAUAACAGGGACUCGUUUUAUGAACAUAUGAUUACAUUUGAAAGUUUUUAGAUAGAAUCUACAUAGACAGUGGGGGUUUAUAAAUCAGUUAAUAGCUGCAUUUUACCCAAUCAGCGGUCAAUCUAAAAUCAGUAUGAGCAAAAUCCAUUAAAAAAUGUAGUUUUUGAAAGGUUAAAUAAAAGAAAAACGGAAAGAAACAAAAAAAAGUGUAGCUAGGUAAGAAAAUGACCACAUUUACAAACAUAAGUUAUAUAUGAGAAGAUGCAAACAUGAAAUCCUACAGUAAAACACAGGUAAUUGAUGAUAUCUUAAACUGUGAGAAAAUAAUUGCAGCAAAUGAGGCUUUAGAGAAACAAUUUCCCCUGAAGCACUUCAAACAUCAUUACAUUCAAACAUGUCCCACUUACAGCAGUUUUAAUUAAAACAUGCAGAAAAAAAAUAAACUGUUUUGACAGCAAGAUUAAGAAUGCCCUCAAUGGAACGUGUUGCUGCUUAUUGUUCUUGACAAGAGAAAUAAUAUCUCCUCAUUUUAUAUUACAAAGAAGAAAUUGAAAAAAAAAAGAAAGAUAACACACUCUAAUGAAAUGUAACUUUAUUCUUUUUUUCCUGAUGGGUAUGUCACAAAACAUAACCUCUAAAUCUUUCCAUCGCUCUAAUCUUUGCAAAUGACUAACAGAUUGUAUUAACAAAGAGUCUAGAUGAAUCUCAGGGGUUUCAUUUACCUCAGAUGGCCGAUGCUGUAUCUGCGAUCAACAUCACAUCUGAAUUGACAUGAGAUGCAAGUUAGAAAGUUAGUUCUCGAUGUUGUUAGCACUGUUAACUAAUACUUGGUGACAACAAUAAACUCACUACUUUUUACAAGCACAGUCGAGAGAGGAAUGUUGCUGACCGCUUGCUUCUCUAGUUAUACCAACUUUAGUAAGGACCACAUGAUAGCAAUGCACAACGAUCUCAGGAGCCACCUGCUCAACCAAAAAGCCACAAAUAAUUCUCAGAACAACAUCUAACUUCAUCAACAGUACAUAUAGGGUCCCAGACAUAGCACUAGCCACCAAACAUCUUUUUAACUUUGCCUACUUUCUUUAGCAAAGAGACUAAACACAACUCACCCACUCUCUUCCAGCAGCUGCUUGUUUGUACGGAGACCUCCGAUGAGUCCAUUAAUUAUACAUUAAUACUCAUUUGGGAACUUUGCUUGUUUAUUGACAUAGUAGGUGAACAUGUGUGCUGAUAAUACAGACUGAAGUGGUGCUAAUCAUAUUUAUGUAAAAUGAAAAGAUGCAAAAUCCAAAAACGUUCUUUUUCUCAUUCGCUCUCCCUUCAGAAAACUAUGACACCUUUCCAUUUUGGUAUUAACCCAAAUAAAAGCUGCUUAGUCAUGUGGGGAUCAAAGGGCUCCUGGUUUAGCAAUUUUUUUUUUUUUUGGGCUGAAAGGUCAGAUAGAUGACCAUCUUGGCCCACACUGAGAAAAAAGUUUUAAUGGCACCCAUUAAGCAGUGAUAAUUGCUCUGCGGCUCCUUUCACUUCUUUUUCUCUAAUGAUUCCCGGCUGCCACUGCUCCCCCUCCUUUUUAACACUUCUCUCCAGGUAAAGCCAUCACAAAGCCCAAAAUACACCUUUUCACAACAAGACGUUUAAACAAAAAUUAGACGGUGCACUAAAAUGCAAGUGAAACAGAAUGCAUGGUUCAAUAUUUGCUGGUAUUUGUUUAUAUAGCAAAAAGUGAUCAAAGAAACAUACCCAAUUUUUUUCUGUUUCCUGUUGAAAUGCUUGAUGGUGAUCAAUCAAACCUCUCUGGAUCCAUGCAGGUCUGAUCCUGAUGCUCAGAAAAUGAGACAGGGAAAGAAAACACAGCAUUAGCAACACUAGAUGCCGUUAGCCGAGCCUUUUAAGUAAACCAGCUCCCUGAAAACCUUGAGAGUCUUUUUUUCCCUCUGUUGCUGGAAUACCAUUCAAUUCUUAUGUCAGGUCUGAGUUUUUUUUUUUUUCCUUUAGAUUCUCCAGCAAAAAUCUCUCAAAUAAAUUAUUUCAAUGAUUUAAUUGAAAUUCCUUAUAGCAAUGUGUUAAAAGGGCAGUGUGUUAACAUUUUUACUAAGAUUUAACAAAUCACUCCAGUGUGAUGGACAAAGAUUUGCCACAACACUGCAUACUGUGCACUUUAAGUUUCACUUAAGGCCCCUCUUAAUUCAUGUAAUUUUUGUAGUUAUAUUGGUACUAAUAAUCAAUUAUCAACAUGGCUUUUGCUGCCACCUGCUUGCUGGAAGUGUGUGAUUAGCUAAAGUAGUGCCUAUAUCUAUUAAAGAGAGGACAGGUAUAUAUGAAGGAGCGGCUUAAAAGGACAGUCAUCAGGGGCCCGAGGGCCUAAAAGGUUGGCUAAAGUUAUGAUAUACGCAGGUGUGGCUCAGUGGUACAGUCAGCCGUCUCUAAAUUGGAGGGUCGUGGGUUUGAUUCCAGGUCCUGAUGUCCCCAUUCCAAAUUGCUUUUGGCAGGACACUUGACCCCACCUGCCCCAGCUGGCUGCGCCCAGUGAAUGGGAUUAGUCGGAAACAGAUGGGCUCCAUACAUAGCAGCAUUUACCACCAGUGUGUGAAUGGGUGAAUAUGAUAUAUAAUAUGAAAGCACUUUUAAGUGUAAAUGUCUAAAGAAAGCACUAAGUGAAAGUAUUUCAUCAAAACAAUUUUAGUCUGUUUUCUAUCAUUGCUUUUUUUUUUGUUUGUUUGUUUUUAGCUAUUUAACAUUUACUAUAGCUUGAAAAAAGAGGAAAGAAAUUAAUAAAUAAAACAUCCAAUUUUGAAAACAUUUUUGAAACCAAGACCUGGCUAGUCUGCUUUUGAGUUCAGCCAUAAAUCAUGACAAUAGUACAUUGAGUGAAACUAUCAGGUGGAUUUCUCCACUUUACACAAUUUGCUGUGAUUUUUACCCCCCUUCAAUUUGAAUUUCAUGUCACUACUCAUUAAUUUGUUUGGCUCUUGAUACAAUCAAAGAUAUUCAGGCUGCACAAUGUUAAAAAAAAAAAAACUAACAUUGCGAUUUUUUUCAACCCUGUGAUAUAUAUUGAGAUAUUAAAAAAUACAGAAAUUUUUACCAUAUGACCUGAAUAUCACUUUAUGUUAUGCUUAACUGCUGAAAUCUUGUGGACAAUUAACCUGCACUGAUCUUAUUUCUUUUUGUGAAUGUUAGUAGAAUGGCUUCUGUCUGUCUCAGAGAUAUUUUUAGGGAUGUUAUUGUGGCAACAGAUGAACACAGAACACGUGUUUGGUCGAGAUCAUCCUUCCUGUAACCGGAAUAAUUCCAGAUAACUGACCUUGCUUUUCUUUUUGGCAACAAGUCUUGAUUUUCAGUGGUUUUCUCUUGUUCAUUGCUCAUUUUGCAAUCGUUGUUGUUGUCACCAGUGUUGUGCUGAGAAAUGCAUGCCUGCUGAGAAUUGCAUGCACCUCGCACAAAGCACACUACUUAGAGGAGAGUGGUCCAUGGAAGUGUACAAUUUAAAACCCAUACAAUUCUUAUUUAUGAGGCAAAACAGUGAUGAGUAAUGUUCCCAAAGUAACUCUCAGCGGGCAUGCGUUUCUAGGCACAACACCGGCAGCAACUCACUCCAUGUGCAGGGGCGUGGUUUCCUCCUCUGAUUUUGAUUGACAACAUGCAGGGUAGUCUGUUUGACAACUAAGUAAAGAACGAAUGUGAUUGGUUGAUGGCUGCACAGCAUAUGCAGGGUCUCAUGGAGUGUAUCUCAGUCAGCUACCCUUGAAAUUAGAUGAGUUCAUUCACUUCCUACAUUGCAGGCUCUGCGAUGUGGCUAUCACGCACACAUACAUUGCGAUGACGAUGCUGAAACAAUAUACCGUGCAGCCCUACAUAGAUAUUCCAGUGUCCCAACACUUUGCUCAUCAGCAUGAACAUGUGGAUACCAGGUGCAAACUUGAAACCCUAAUGGUGCAGCUCUUUAGCUAUCAGCUAUAAUGACUGUUUGCAGUGCUUCACUGAUCUAAAAUCAACAUACAGUCUGUGGCUGCGCAGAGCUGUUAGUCCUACUUGUUACUUUUGGUUCAGAAGCAGGUUUCAUCUUUUGGUUCAUACUGCCAAGCAAAAAGCGACUUACGUUGAGUCUGUGGUUCAUGUCCAGCACAAGAGCAUUUUACAAAGUCCUUAAUUUAAAAAGUCAAGUUAUAAUUUAAACAUCUGUGAGGAGCUUUUAGUUAAAUAGGACAGUCAAAUGAUUUAUUGUGAAUAUUUUGUGGAAAAUGCAAAAACAGUGAAUUCUCUUCAGCUUCUCGGCUGACAUCUACCCCUUUCCACAUCAAUUUCAGGUAUUAAGAACCACCAUGUAGAAAACUUUCAUCUUUUCACUGGUGGUCUUGUUUGCAUUUUUAUAUUCCAAAAAGACGUCAAUUUAAAUUACAGUGUAUUUCAUAAACAUCACAAAAUCUCCUCGCAGGAGCUUUAAGCUGACACCACAGUUGGCUUGAGCAACAUGUUAAUCUGUAAACCUCUACUUUAAUGAUGGGCUUUUAAGUCUGUUGGACAGGUCGGAAAUCGUUUCAGUUAUUUCAGUUUUAUGUCAUUGCCUUUUAUUCUAUCGUGUUUUGCUGUUAGACUUUUGCUUAUAAGAGGUUAACUAGGAUAAACAACUAAAACAAAAUGUAAUAUGCUAAACGUUUAAACUAGCAUACAAAAGAAAAAGUUGGUCAAAUAAAGGAAAGUCAAAGUUAACAGUAGGUUACUAUCGUGAAGUGGAUUGCUACUAAAGGUGUGACACACAAUCCUCUUUUCUUCCUCACUCGCUUAAUCUAUCAUCUCACCCUGGAGAGAUUAAAACAGUGGAGAGAGACAGAAAACAAACCGAGGGCAAAAGUUUGUCCUUUGAGGUAAAAUGAUUUCACUUGCUGCCAAUCCCCCAAUUUCAUGGAGCUGUGUAAUAAAUUUUACAUUUAGGAUCCUUCUGAAAGCAUUUUCUGUUUAUUUACAGGCAACGAAGUGUGCUACAAAAGAGGCAAAAUAAUCUUGUCAUUUUUGUGCUCAGUUCUCAACAUUUUCAACAAACUGUCAACAAACUCUGCUACUUUCUCAAGAAAACAUUGUUUGUGCGGGGUAUCAUAGAAAAACAUGGAUCUAGGCAGUUUGUGCAUUGUGUACUCUUCCCUCUUUCUCUCACUGUGUCUCCCACAACCCAAAUGCAUCCAGAUUCAACUUUGCUUUUAAGUCUUGUGGCUUGACACAAAGGGGAUCCUUCCUUCCCCACACAUCAUCUGAAAAGGGAGGAAAUCAAAAAGACACAAAGAGCCGUCUCGCUAUUCAGUGGGGAGAAAACUCAUUCUGUCACUGCUGCCAUUCUGUGUGAGAUUACAGUGGGGACCCACGACCCAUGUUGCUUUUGCAUCCCUCUUGAAUCCUGUCAUUGAUGGUUUGUGUGUCUGUGUAUAAUGAGUGCUCUUCUGGAGGAGGUGUCAGGACGUUGCGUGUUUGUUGUACCUGUUGUUUCUAUGUGUUGCUGUUAACACUGUUUACGCAUGUGCUGCAUAGAUGUGUUUGGUGUAAUGGAAGCUUUUCUGUUAAGGGGUUAAAAUGUUUGCCGCUGACCUAUCUUUGCUAGUGUUUGGAAAAAUACACACAUUGUUAGCAGCUGCUGGCUUCACAUUUGCAUUUAUCUUAAUAAUGUUCCUCAUUUUGUGUAUGAAAUCUGUAAUGAA